rnacentral:misc_RNA from 1 species
UCUCCGUAGGUGAACCUGCGGAGGGAUCAUUACAGAGUUCAUGCCCUACCGGGUAGAUCUCCCACCCUAUGUUAUUAUUACUUUGUUGCUUUGGCGGGCCGUUAGGCUCCGGCCCGACUACCGGCCCCGGCUGGUAGGCGCCCGCCAGAGGACCCAAAACCCUGAAUAUUAGUGUCGUCUGAGUACUAUAUAAUAGUUAAAACUUUCAACAACGGAUCUCCUGGUUCUG